AAGACUAUACUCUUAGGGAUCAUUUCUAUAGUAAUUUCCUAGAGAAAUGGGUUCUUGAGUGUCUGGUCUCACAAACCACGAGGAGGAUUUAUAGUGUUCUCUUCUGAGCAGGAAGUUGGUAUUGAGUGUUGCUUUCAGCAGCUGCUCUUUGCCUUCGAUGAGUGUUCUUACUCUCUUAUAGGGAGUUAGAGGAAGAGGAUGCAUUCUGAGUGGU